UACGUAGGGUGCGAGCGUUAAUCGGAAUUACUGGGCGUAAAGCGUGCGCAGGCGGUUUUGUAAGUCAGAUGUGAAAUCCCCGGGCUUAACCUGGGAACUGCAUUUGUGACUGCAUGGCUAGAGUUUGUCAGAGGGGGGUGGAAUUCCACGUGUAGCAGUGAAAUGCGUAGAUAUGUGGAGGAACACCGAUGGCGAAGGCAGCCCCCUGGGAUGUGACUGACGCUCAUGUACGAAAGCGUGGGGAGCAAACAGG
rnacentral:rRNA from 1 species